rnacentral:rRNA from 1 species
UACGUAGGGGGCGAGCGUUGUCCGGAAUUAUUGGGCGUAAAGGGCGUGUAGGCGGCCGAUCAAGUCAGGUGUGAAAUUCCAGGGCUCAACCCUGGACGUGCACUUGAAACUGGUUGGCUUGAGUGCAGAAGAGGAAAGUGGAAUUCCCAGUGUAGCGGUGAAAUGCGUAGAUAUUGGGAGGAACACCAGUGGCGAAGGCGACUUUCUGGUCUGUAACUGACGCUGAGGCGCGAAAGCGUGGGGAGCAAACAGG